UUUAAGGUCUACUUACUUGGUUAUUAGAUACUAAUAAUGUAUCAUACAAUCUUAUUUAUGUACAUGAAAAAGUACGAAUAGAUCAUGUCCGAUUUUCAGUAAUUCUUACUCUAAAAUGGUUUUAUGUUGCAGGUAUAUAAAGGGUCGUCUUCUUCUCCUUCUCAACAAACGACCCCCAUUCCAUUACCAGAUUUUGUCACAUUUGGUCGAGAAGUGUUGAAACAUUUUUCAUCUCAAGCCGGCUUGUCCCCAAAUUUGGAGCAUAUGAAACG
rnacentral:lncRNA from 1 species